GGAGGCUGAAGCAGGAGAAUUUCUAAUUCAAAGCCUCAGCAACAGCGAGGCACUGUCUCUAAAUAAAACUCAGUGAGACCCUGUCUCUAAAUAAAAAAUAGGGCUGGGGAUGUGGCUCACUGGUUGAGUGCCCAGAGUUCAAUCCCCUGUGUCCCCUACCAAAAAAAAUUAAAAUAGAGCCCACCCUAUAGUAGAUCUUCUCAUAUGCCAUUGAUUCAAAUCAAAUAGGAAACUUUAAAGUGCCAGUGUAUGUAUGAGUACUAAUGAGGCUUAUUUGUUUAUUCUUAGAGUGCUGAGGAGCAAACCAAGGGUCUUGAGUAUACUAAAUGUGCAUUGUCCCUGAGCUACAUCCCUAGCCCUGAGUCCAUUUGUUUUACAAAAGCAUAAGGUUUGCUCUUAGAUAUUGAAGGACAAAUGAUCAAAAAUAUGAUAGGAAAAUGGAAAAAAAAAUGUGCAGACAAUACACAAAAGAGAAAAUAUCCCUAAAAUGUAUUUUAAAAAUUCACAAAAAAAACCUAAAACAUGAGCUCAUGGAUGUAAAUUUUCUUCGGUAUACUAACCUUUGUACUCUAUAUGUAUCCCAUAGCAUUAUGUUCUAAAUGUUAGAUAUACCCAAUAUAAUUGUUUUUUAGAAAUUCAAACAUAAGAAAAAGUGCAAAUUUAAACUGAGAUGUCAUUCCUCACCUGUGAGACAGGAUGUAAAAGUGACAUUGCUACAUUCUGUUGGUGAGGCACCCUUGUGUUGGUGGAAGUGCAAAUUGGAACUACCCUUCUGAAAGGGAAUUUGGCAGUAUUUAAUGAAAUUACUUGUAUACUGGCUGCUGACCCAGCAAUCCUACUUCUAGAGCUCUACCCUGAUGACACAACACAGAAAGCUCACAUGAACAAGGACACUCUUGGCAACAUUAGUAGUAAUUGUAAAAUAUCGAUUUGAAAAUUGCCCAAAUGUCUACACAUAGGAGAGUGAUUGGAUGAACAAGGUACCCCCACACAAUAGAAUUGUGCAGAGCUGGGGGAAAAAAAGUUUGAGGAUGUUGGGCAUGAUGGUACAUGCCUGUAAUCCCAGUGGCUUGGGAGGCUGAAGCAGGAGGAUUGUGAGUUCAAAGCCAGCCUCAGCAACUUAGGUGCUAAGCAACUCGGUGAGACCCUAUCUCUAAAAUUUUAUUAAAAGGGGCUGUGGCUGUGGCUCAGUGGUCAAAGUGCCCCUGAAUUCAAUCCCCAGUACGGGUCAGGUGCAGGGAGCAAGGGGAGGGAAGCUUAAGGAAGAAGAUCUCUAUGAAUUGAUGUCUUAAUUUCCAGGAUAUAUUGUUUAAGUGAGAAAAGCCAAGUGCAAAAGCAUUUACAGUUUAUAAUAAGGCAGUUUAAGCAAAUAAACACAUAUUUACUCGUCUGUGCAAAAGAAACAGAAUAAGCCAGAAGCUAGCUAGCAAAAGAGGGAUGGAUAUGGUGGAAAGCAUUGGGAAUGGGGUGGUUGAGAUAAGGGGAGAUUGACACUAAACUAUAACCAUGUUUCACAUGCCCCAAAUGAAAUUAAAAUCAGGAACUCAAAAUGAAAUUCAAAGUAAUUCAUGAAUCUAAUUACAAAUACAGAAUAUUAAUUACCACACUGUAGAGAAGAAAGCCAACAUGUAACUCUGGAAAAUGGUGUAGCCACUGUAUGAUAUAAGCCUAAAUACAAAAUGAACUAUACACAAAUAAUUAUACUCCAGUAAGGUGUUAUGAAUUGGUAAUUCUAAAACUGCCUUAAGUGUAUACCAAGAUUGAGCAAAAAAGUUAGGGAUACAAUAUGGAUGAAAGCAUAUGUUAUGGAGAAUUGAAUUUCUUAUUGCAAAUAAGAAAUGUUUGAACCAGGCAUGGUGGUACACACUUGUAAUCCCAGUGACUGGGGAGUCUGAGGCAGGAGGAUCACAAGUUUGAAGCUAGCCUUAACAACUUAGUGAGACCCUGUCUCAAAAAAUUAAAAGGGCUGGUGGUCAAGUUCAGUGGGUUCAAUCCUCAGUACUAGUAAAAAAAAGUUGGGAAAGAAUUCCUGUGAUGUCAGAUUGGAACUGGAGAUACUAGAAGUUUAAGGAGUUUAUUGUAUGUGCAAAUACAUAAAUUUAAAAAUAUGCAUAUACAUACAUGUUUUUCCCAGCUUUGUCUAUAGAGAGGGUCUAUAAGCAAAGACAUCCUAGUAGCAAUGAGCACACCUACUGCUCAGAUACCGAUUUCGAAUUAGAGUCUCUAAUGAAUAGAACUCUGGCUUCUUGGAGAAGUGGUGAUUCCUGGGCUGGGCCAGGGAAAUUAGAAAAUGAGUUUGGAACAUCUUGUGAUGCCAAGGAAAAGUAAGGAAGGUUUUGCAAAAUGAUUGGAGAGAGAAGAGAUAAAGGGCACUCUGAGUCUUCUUGUGGCUUCUUAUGAGCAACUCUGAAACAAUUUAAACUCACAGUAGCAAUGGACUGUAAACCAUGGCAGGAAACAAAUACCCAUGAGUUUAUAUUGAUCCAUAUGAUGAGAAGGUAAAUGAAGGGGAUCAAGCUGCUUUUCCUUACAUUAGAACACCAAUUAGUAGUGCAUUCCUGUAAUCCCAGUGGCUCAGGAGGCUGAGGCAGGAGGAUCCCAAGUUCCAAGCCAGCCUCAGCAACUUAGCCAAGACCCUGUCUCAAAAUAUAAAUAAAUCAAAAGGGCUGGGGAUGUGGCUCAGAAUAAGUUAUUCACCCCUGAGUUGAAUCUCCAAUUACCAAAAGGAAUGCUAAUUAGUAAAGAUAGAUGACAUGAUGUAAACCAAAUCACCAAGCAACACUAUCCUGAAAGGCAGGAAUCAGCGCUAAAAUUAGUAAUCAUGACAAGAAACAAUAUGUGCACAGUCUCGGAAUAUUUUCACUCCAGGUGAGGUGGGAUAGGAUAAAUAAGGAUAGGUAGAAAGCAGACCAAUAGAGAAAGGGGAAAAAAACUAAACCAAAGAAGCUCCAGGAACACUCACCUUUGCUCCUCAUACUUCUUUUCCUCUAGACGUAACUUCCUAAAUUCUUUAAAAUCCCAUGACUCUUAGGGCAUUGUGAAUCUAGAUGAUUAAUGCCUACUUACAUUGCUAACAAAACAUUUUUUUCAGACUAAAUAAAGCCAAGAUAAAAUGGAGACUUGUAAUACAAGUCUUGGUUGUAUUGCAAACAUAUCAACUAGAUGAUGUUCACCUAGAGAUCCUGAAAGAACCAGACCACUGUGACCCACCGUAUGCACCAUGAUUAAGAAAACAGCUCACCAGACUGAUUCAUUUCCCACAUACUUCCCAUGUUCAUUAUUUACAAAGUUUCCUUUAAAAAAGCCAAAGACCCCAAAAGUGCAUCUCACUCUCUAGCACACGCUCCUCCUGCCUUUGAAUGCGUGCCCCACUGUAUUGGUUGCUGUCCUGAAUAAAUCUCCUUUGCUUUGCUAAAUAAAUCUGUUUGUGCUUCUCUUGACAUAUCUUGAAAUUCCUUUCAGCAGCAUAAGUCAAGAACCUGAGAUGAGGUUCCCUGCUCCCUUCUGGGGGACCUCCGCAGGCCCUAUCAGGUGACAAAGGUACUGUUUCAAAAGGAAAAAUGCUAACGUGGUGUAAAAACUGGCAGACCACCUUCAUCAAGAGAUCAGUAACACAUGAGGGCAGCAAGUACCUCCCGAUGGUUUGCCCAGGAAGAGCACGAUUCUGUGAUAUUGCCUGCAAUGAACCCAGUCAUGAGGUGACCUCAGGCAAACCCAAUUGAGCAACAUUGAACAAAGUAGCCAGUGCUCUUCGUACAUAUCAAGGUAGAAAAGAAAUGUGGAACUGUCACAGGAGGAGAUAAGGAGACAUAUGAUAACUAAGUGCAAUGUAGGAUCUUCCCAUGGGAACUUUGAACUGAUCAAUAAAAUUCAAUUUUGCCCAAAGGAAAAAGGAA
rnacentral:lncRNA from 1 species